rnacentral:rRNA from 1 species
UACGGGGGGAGCAAGCGUUGUUCGGAUUUACUGGGCGUAAAGGGCGCGUAGGCGGCCACCGCAAGUCGGUUGUGAAAGCCCUCAGCUCAACUGAGGAAGUGCGCCCGAAACUGCAUAGCUUGAGUACCGGAGAGGAUGGUGGAAUUCCCGAAGUAGAGGUGAAAUUCGUAGAUAUCGGGAGGAACACCGGUGGCGAAGGCGACCAUCUGGACGGAUACUGACGCUGAGGCGCGAAAGCCAGGGGAGCAAACGGG